CUGCUCUUCAAAGUUGGCACGGGGACCGAUGAACUGCGCUCCCUAGAAAACGGGAAGUUCAGAUCCAGACUUUCCCUUCCUUCGUCUUUCAAUACAGUGAUACCUUUUCGAGUCCUGAAGAAGUCUACCGCAAGCAGCGAGCAGAUAGUAUAGUACUCUUGGCCACUUUGGGCUAGAGAAUCACUUUGGUUUUUCCAGCCUCUACUGCCUUCAUUUCUGACCUGUGAUUUCACCAGAUGGCGAACAACAUAACUGUAUUUGUGGGGAAUACAAAGAUCAUGUGGAAGCUGCUUUGACCAUCCAUGUAGGGCCAUGACAUACACAAGAACUGAUUAAAAUGAAGGUUUUUGGUCGGCAUCCAUAUACGCAAACCAAAGAUGGAAGAGCUGCAUCUCAAAUAUCCAACUGUGUUCCUACUCAGCAAUGCCAGGGGUUAGAGGUAAGUGUGCUUAUGUGAGUUCUUAUGCUUGGUGCAUUGUGGGCUUGCAGUUUGUGAAAAAAUGGCCUUGAAAAAAGAUGUCAGGAUGUUCUUGCAGCUUCGCAGAUGGCCAGAGGCAGGCUGGAAUAUGUAUGUGUGUAGUGCCCCAGUAUCCAUCAGCUUCUGAAAUACAAGUGAAAGCAGGUGAGUCUUGUGAAUGACCACAGUGAGAGAAGAUCAGCUGUAAUAACAUUAUAUAUAUUAUAAUGAAAAUACUUGAAUUGCAGUAUCCAUAUGUUUUACUGUGUCUGCGGCAGUUUUUUUUCCCAAUAACAAACACUUACUGCAGGCCAAGGAAAAUAGAAGCCAUAACAACAAAAAUGGUAUGGUACCGAGAUAGGUAUCUCUGCCUUGACCUGUUCUCACCUACGUGUUGCAUAAUGAUGGUGACAGAAACAAAAAAGCACUGUUCAAUUACUGCUAGGAACAUAACUAACAAUAACACAGAGUCUGUAUUAUUCUCUCAAAAUUAAAUGUCAGGGCAUAUCCUGGCUAAAUGCAGUAUAAUUGGAUCAGUUGAAUGAGUCUAUCCUUGGCCUACAUCUGGCUCUAUGUUUCUCAUAAGUAAGAAGAGAAAAGACAUCUACUAGCUAAAUGCAUUCUGCACCUAUGCGUUUGUGCACAUGACUAGUCGUUCAUUUUUAUAUGAGCAGGACACAUAAAUUGUUUUUAAUUUACUAUGUGGGAUGCACCCUCUGAAACAGUAAAGCAUUCUUCUUUAUUCUUUUGCAGUAUUUCUCUUGCUGUUUUACAUCCCAGACUUGGUACGAGCAAGCACAGAUGUGUCUUUUGUGCAGGAGAGGGAAGGAAGAGAGAGCCAAAUGAAAAAUCCUGAAUGACAACAUCUCCAAGUAUCACAGCAGUACCUUCUAAAGCUGGAAGAUAAAGCUGAUGAGGUGGUUACCAUGGCUACAGAAGCGGCAUAUUUGAAUGAAAAUUGAUUUUAAGCUUUUAAAUGCUAAUUGCAUCUGUGAACAGGUGACAUUUGAAAUAUCUUUUUCUCCCUCCUCCCUCCCCCCAUAUGUUGCAGAGUAUAAUGAGUGAAAGAAGAGGGUGACAAAGGUGACAACACACUGUUAAAUUAGAACACUGAUACAGUCUUCAACACUAAAGUAUGUCACACCAUUUGCUUGUGUAGUAGUACAAGUAAUAAGUGAACACAUAUAUAGAUCACAGUGUCUGAGGAGCAGAAACUGUCUAGAACCCAAUUAAUAUAUUUUUCAUGGUAUUGUGAAAAAUUAAACAGCUUUAUUUAAAUUAAUCACCAGAACAAUUGUUUCUGGUAGCUCAUAAUAAAGAGGCUAUUAAAACUUACCAUUCAGAAACUGCUAUAAAUUCUCAGUGAUGAGGAAGCUUUGCAAAUGCCUGGAAUUAGAAGCAUUUCUUAUUUCACUCUGUACACUGGGAAAUAAAGUUGAACUUCUACACAGUAGUAGACUCAGACUAGGGAACCAAGAUGCUGUGUAGACUGGUGUUACUGUGCAACUGCUGCUAAUUGCUGUCACACCACUGUCUGACCACACUCAGGCUGUAGUUGCAGAAGACAUAGAAGGUGUAAUUUACCUCACUGUAAGCAUAGUUUUAAUAUGAUCUGAAAGCUCUUUAACUUGCAGUGGGUUACAUUCCACUUGUUAGCGCUUGCUUUUCGAAACACUCUUGAUAUGAUUACUGUUUAAGACAUGAUCAGUUGUAAUGCAGAUUUAUAUUUUGUUAAAUUAAUUGUAAAAUUGUAAAUAAAAAUUGUAAAUCUGUGAGGGGUUUCAGAUUAUUUUAGUUUUUUGUUUGUUUGUUUGUUUUUCAUUUUUGUUUUUUAAUAUGCAGUGUGAGAAAUCUGGUGGUUUUGGCUGUG
ensembl:lncRNA